rnacentral:rRNA from 1 species
AUUGAACGCUGGCGGCAUGCUUUACACAUGCAAGUCGAACGGUAACAGGCCGCAAGGUGCUGACGAGUGGCGAACGGGUGAGUAAUGCAUCGGAACGUGCCCAGUCGUGGGGGAUAACGCAGCGAAAGCUGUGCUAAUACCGCAUACGAUCUAUGGAUGAAAGUGGGGGACCGUAAGGCCUCGCGCGAUUGGAGCGGCCGAUGUCGGAUUAGGUAGUUGGUGGGGUAAAGGCCUACCAAGCCGACGAUCUGUAGCUGGUCUGAGAGGACGACCAGCCACACUGGGACUGAGACAAGGCCCAGACUCCUACGGGAGGCAGCAGUGGGGAAUUUUGGACAAUGGGCGCAAGCCUGAUCCAGCAAUGCCGCGUGCAGGAAGAAGGCCUUCGGGUUGUAAACUGCUUUUGUACGGAACGAAACGGUUCGGGUUAAUACCCCGGGCUAAUGACGGUACUGUAAGAAUAAGCACCGGCUAACUACGUGCCAGCCGCCGCCGUAAAAC